GUUCCUGUAGCGCCAUGGAAAGCGCGUUGGAUUUCUAAUCCUAAAGGCCGUGGGUUCGAAUGCCACCUGGGAUC